CUUCAGUGCUGCAGCUAACGCAUUAAGCACUCCGCCUGGGGAGUACGACCGCAAGGUUGAAACUCAAAGGAAUUGACGGGGGCCCGCACAAGCGGUGGAGCAUGUGGUUUAAUUCGAAGCAACGCGAAGAACCUUACCAGGUCUUGACAUCCUUUGACCACUCUAGAGAUAGAGCUUUCCCUUCGGGGACAAAGUGACAGGUGGUGCAUGGUUGUCGUCAGCUGGUGUCGUGAGAUGUUGGGUUAAGUCCCGCAACGAGCGCAACCCUUAUUGUUAGUUGCCAUCAUUCAGUUGGGCACUCUAGCGAGACUGCCGGUGACAAACCGGAGGAAGGUGGGGAUGACGUCAAAUCAUCAUGCCCCUUAUGACCUGGGCUACACGCGUGCUACAAUGGGAAGUACAACGAGUCGCUAGGCCGCGAGGUCAUGCAAAUCUCUUAAAGCUUCUCUCAGUUCGGAUUGCAGGCUGCAACUCGCCUGCAUGAAGCCGGAAUCGCUAGUAAUCGCGGAUCAGCACGCCGCGGUGAAUACGUUCCCGGGCCUUGUACACACCGCCCGUCACACCACGAAAGUUUGUAACACCCGAAGUCGGUGAGGUAACCUUUUGGAGCCAGCCGCCUAAGGUGGGAUAGAUGAUUGGGGUGAAGUCGUAACAAGGUAACCAAGGGCGAAUUCCAG
rnacentral:rRNA from 1 species